GCCAGGGUAGCUCAGUGGUAGAGCAAGAGACUGAAAAUCUCUGUGUCGUUUGUUCAAUUCAAACUCUUGGCA
rnacentral:tRNA from 2 species